rnacentral:rRNA from 1 species
UACGAAGGGGGGCUAGCGUUGCUCGGAAUCACUGGGCGUAAAGGGCGCGUAGGCGGCGUUUUUAAGUCGGGGGUGAAAGCCUGUGGCUCAACCACGGAAUGGCCUUCGAUACUGGGACGCUUGAGUAUGGUAGAGGUUGGUGGAACUGCGAGUGUAGAGGUGAAAUUCGUAGAUAUUCGCAAGAACACCGGUGGCGAAGGCGGCCAACUGGACCAUUACUGACGCUGAGGCGCGAAAGCGUGGGGAGCAGACAGG